rnacentral:rRNA from 1 species
AACGAACGCUGGCGGCAGGCUUAACACAUGCAAGUCGAACGCAUCGCAAGAUGAGUGGCAGACGGGUGAGUAACGCGUGGGAACAUACCCUUUUCUACGGAAUAGCUCUGGGAAACUGGAAUUAAUACCGUAUACGCCCUACGGGGGAAAGAUUUAUCGGGGAAGGAUUGGCCCGCGUUGGAUUAGCUAGUUGGUGGGGUAAGGGCCUACCAAGGCGACGAUCCAUAGCUGGUCUGAGAGGAUGAUCAGCCACAUUGGGACUGAGACACGGCCCAAACUCCUACGGGAGGCAGCAGUGGGGAAUAUUGGACAAUGGGCGCAAGCCUGAUCCAGCCAUGCCGCGUGAGUGAUGAAGGCCCUAGGGUUGUAAAGCUCUUUCACCGGUGAAGAUAAUGACGGUAACCGGAGAAGAAGCCCCGGCUAACUUCGUGCCAGCCGCCGCGGUAA